CACGUAGGGUGCGAGCGUUGUCCGGAAUUAUUGGGCGUAAAGAGCUCGUAGGCGGUCUGUUGCGUCGGGAGUGAAAACUUACAGCUUAACUGUGAGCGUGCUUCCGAUACGGGCAGACUUGAGGUAUUCAGGGGAGAACGGAAUUCCUGGUGUAGCGGUGAAAUGCGCAGAUAUCAGGAGGAACGACCGGUGGCGAAGGCGGUUCU
rnacentral:rRNA from 1 species